AUAAAAUGAAAUAUUAAAAGAAAUGGAGGGAAAACAAAUUAAUUUGAAUUAAAUCAGAAAACACCACAGCCGUUGGAUAAGGCGCGCAAUCAAGAUCUAAGGUCCACAUUCAAACAAUCAAAAUGCACGGUUUCAUUAAACAGUCAGCGUGCUCAGUCACUACACACAUCAGUAUUCAACGGUACGCAUGGCAUGAUCAAACAAAUGGUAUCCAAUCAUACACAC
rnacentral:lncRNA from 1 species